rnacentral:rRNA from 1 species
GUCUACUGCUAUGCUACCCUAAACGUGCCCGAUCUUGUCUGAUCUCCGAAGUUAAGCAGGGUUGGGCUUGAUUAGUACUUGGAUGGGAGACCACCUAUGAAUCCCAGUUGCCAUAGGUG